UGAGGAUCAAACAUGUCCAUCUCUUAAUAACAUAAAUAAAGAGCAAAGAUAUCCAUAGAUGUAAAGCUCAAAUAAUGUUCGGAAGAAAAAAAAAACCUUUGUUGUAAGUCGCCAUAUGUGCUUAAAAAUAUAUAAGCUUUUCCCUAGGCAAAUAAUACCAUAAUAUCUAUUACAAAUGAAGCACCAUGUUGUGUUCAACACAAAAAAGAAAAACAUAAAGUUUGUCAUCUUCAUCAAGUUGAACUUAAUUUUAACAGAACUUGUCAGCAUCUUGAUCCUUAAAUUGAUGCCCAUGUUGUUGAGCCUACAAAAAGAACAAAAGAAAAUGUAUUAAAUUAUUAAAAAUCAACGUGCUUAAAAUUGACAUAGUUAAAUAUACAAUGUAGUAACAAUACUUGUAGCAGAUCCAAAUGAUUCAAGUUGGAUAUAUGAUGUUGUUGUGUUCCAUAAACACUAAGCUGGUCAGUAUUUGGUACUUNNN
rnacentral:lncRNA from 1 species